rnacentral:snoRNA from 1 species
CUCGCACCCAAGUCUAAGAACCACAGUUUCUCGAGACAGCGGUUUAAACAGCAUUGCGAAGAGCUGGUGAAUCUCGUUGCGUUUGGGGGCUUGUGCCGCACCCCUCAAAGUGAAUGUGGAGGUUUUACAUCC